ensembl:snoRNA small nucleolar RNA SNORD38
UUUUGGUGAUGAGACCUUUGUCCAGUUCUGCUACUGAACUUGAAUGAUGACACUGGAGAUCUGAAGAGA